rnacentral:rRNA from 1 species
CGGAGGUUACUGCUAUCGGUGUCCGACUAAGCCAUGCGAGUCAAAUGUUCUUCGUGAACAUGGCAGACUGCUCAGUAACACGUGGAUAACCUACCCUAAGGACAGGAAUAACCCCGGGAAACUGGGGAUAAUACCUGAUAAAUNAGAGAUGCUGGAAUGCCCUCUAAUUCAAAGGUCCGCCGCCUUAGGAUGGAUCUGCGGCUCAUCAGGUAGUAGUGGGUGUAACGUACCUACUAGCCUACGACGAGUACGGGUUGUGAGAGCAAGAGCCCGGAGAUGGAUUCUGAGACACGAAUCCAGGCCCUACGGGGUGCAGCAGGCGCGAAUCCUUUACAAUGCAGGCAACUGCGAUAAGGGGACACCGAGUGCCAGUGAAUUUCAUUGGCUGUCUUAAUGUUUAAAACGCAUUCAAUAGCAAGGGCUGGGCAAGACCGGUGCCAGCCGCCGCGGUAAUACCGGCAGCCCGAGUGGUAACCACUAUUAUUGGGUCUAAAGGGUCCGUAGCCGGGCCAAUCAGUCUUCUGGGAAAUCUGGCAGCUCAACUGUCAGGCGACUAGGGGAUACUGUUGGCCUUGGGACCGGAAGAGGUAAGAGGUACUUUAGGGGUAGGAGUGAAAUCUUGUAAUCCUUAAGGGACCACCAGUGGCGAAGGCGUCUUACCAGAACGGGUCCGACGGUGAGGGACGAAAGCUAGGGGCGCAAACCGGAUUAGAUACCCGGGUAGUCCUAGCCGUAAACGAUGUUCGCUAUGUGUCAGGGACGGCGUGACCGUUCCUGGUGCCGAAGGGAAGCUGUGAAGCGAACCACCUGGGAAGUACGGCCGCAAGGCUGAAACUUAAAGGAAUUGGCGGG